GAUGGGCAACAUCGAGCCCGAAACCGGUCGACGAAAAAAGUCAUUUUAACCCGUUUAAUGUUUGUAAGGACUAUAAGUGUUGUGUCUUAGUCCCGUGUCGCGUCUCGUGAGUGGUCGCAGCUAAAAUGUAUACUAAAAUUAUAAUUUAUGCAACAAUUCAUCAUUUCACAUGUUGUGUGAACUUAUUUACGAACCAAAAUGGUGCUACUAUGAAUAAUAGGAAACAGUACUCAGUAUGAACAAAAGUUGUCAGUUGAUUGAGCUUGAGCUUGGACUUGGGUAGACUGUACAGUUCGUAGUUGCUCUCCGUGAUUGACCUGAACCAACCAAAUUGCACAAAGAACACACAGAAUAACGCUCGGGACUAGCAAAUUAUUCUCAUUUUGUAAUGUUCGGUGAUUCGAGCUUUAAAUGGUCAAUAACGACGCCGGCCACGUCCUUAUGUUAGUAUGAUAUUCGCUGCCCGAAGGCCAGAAGGGUCGCCUCUAUAGCGUGGUUCCCUAGCGUUUAUCAUGGAAGGGAUAAUUGUUAGUGGGGAGAGCACACCCUCAAGGUGGCCUUCUACAAGCUGUUCGAGCAGCAUUUUCAAAACCUCAACGAACUCUGUUCAUGUAUUGUCUUCAUCAUUUCCGUAAUCGUUUUGUGGUAUGUGGCUACAUGGAUAAUCGGUACCAUCAUCAGACUGCUCUUGCCGCUGUUCGUGUGUGUUGUGUUUCUGAUCAUUUUGAACGAGAAGUAUCCUACCGCAUUACCGAACCUAGUGAAGCUGUUCCACAACAUAUAUUCCUGCGCGUUGAACUAUUUUGAGAAAUUAACUUCUUAGCACAUCUUUUCUGAUAAAACAUAUAUUCAACAAUAAAUAUGAUCUUGUUAUUAUUAAAUAAUACACAAUACAAAAUAAACUGAUUUU